rnacentral:rRNA from 1 species
UACGAAGGGGGCUAGCGUUGCUCGGAAUCACUGGGCGUAAAGCGCACGUAGGCGGUUUUCUAAGUCAGGGGUGAAAUCCCGGAGCUCAACUCCGGAACUGCCUUUGAUACUGGAGAACUCGAGUUCGGGAGAGGUGAGUGGAACUGCGAGUGUAGAGGUGAAAUUCGUAGAUAUUCGCAAGAACACCAGUGGCGAAGGCGGCUCACUGGCCCGAUACUGACGCUGAGGUGCGAAAGCGUGGGGAG